rnacentral:misc_RNA from 1 species
AAGUCGUAACAAGGUUUCCGUAGGUGAACCUGCGGAAGGAUCAGUAGAGAUUGCCGGCGCAAGCCGGUCCUACACCACACACACCCGUGAACCGUUGGGGACAGCGAAUUGGCUUCAUGCCUUAAUAGCGCCCGCACCUGGGGACAGCGAAUUGGCUUCACGCCUUAAUAGCGCCCGUUUACAAACUCUUAGAAACGUAACGAACGUAGUCUUAUUUUAACAAAUAAAACUUUCAACAACGGAUCUCUUGGCUCCCA